UCUGUAAAACACAAGAAGAGGUGACUGAUGGGUAGGAGCAGCGACAUCCAUCAAGGCAGUAACGUCUGUAAUCAGUCUCUUCACGGAGGCAGACCAGUCUGUGCCUCUGGGUAGGAGCUCUCUGCCAGGCCAGGCCUGUGACUGCUGCCCUGUUCCCAUCUGCUCCUCUCUGCGAGGUAGCCCAGCUGCAUCAUCACUCCACCUAACUUCUGCUCGGCUGGUCAUGUCCCUCUUCUACUCAGAACCCUUCAACAGCCCCCAAAACUUCACUCAAAGGCCACCACCACCCAAACCUCAGCCCUCAUGCAGACUCACACUUCACCAGAAUGGUCUGUGUGUCAUUGUCUGUCAUGGCCAUGAUGAAAACAAGUGAGCUGAGAGUCUCCAUGAUACCCCAUUGACCUGCCCAACUACACUAGGUCAGAUGUGAGUUAUCCUGAGUUAUCCGCCAGGACCGUAUUCCUCCCUCCCUGCACGUGCCCACAACUGCUGGGAUGGCUGACUCCUCUUCCCUGGGCCCGCCCUCACGCUGCCUCAGCUUGAAUCUGCUGCUACCAAGGCAUGGAAUUGGCAAGUAUAAUGGACUCUCGGCUACUCGAGCUCAGGAACUUAAGAGCUGUGCUAUUUAGGUGAAGCUACUUCUUUUGGCCUGUUUCCUGGCCUGCAGAAUGGUUAUGCCACCACCUAGCGCACAGGGUUGUUGGAAGGAUUAAAUGAGAAUGCAUGUAAAAUGCCCGAUACAUAAAAAGUAUACAAUAAAUGUUUCACCUUGUGCUAAAGUAAAGCUUACUGAGAAAAGCCUGGGGCAAUGUCAAAUGAGAGUUAAGACUAGAAAGAAAGACAAAACUAAGCUGCUAUCUAGGCAGAGCUUCACAGCAGGUGUGUCAGGAAUGGCUUACGGGCUUGGUCAAGUAACCCUACAGUUUAUUGUCUAACCUGGAACAACUGUGAGAGUUAAAGAAGUCACCAUAAAUAAUUAUCCCAAGACCACAAAUGCAAACAGAACCGAGUUGACCCUAGAAUAGGUGUAAUGGACAUGGACCCCCGUCAGCCCCUGGGAUAGCAGGGCAGAGCCUGGGCUGCUGAGUCUCUAGUUUGCUCUUGACCCAGAGGAGCCUCAAUAUGCUCCUCAAAUACUUUCAUAUUUAUGUGUCAGAGCAUGAAAGACGUCAGGAAACACUGGUCUAGAUAACUAACUU